rnacentral:rRNA from 1 species
CCUACGGGAGGCAGCAGUGGGGAAUAUUGCACAAUGGGGGAAACCCUGAUGCAGCGACGCCGCGUGAGUGACGAAGUAUUUCGGUACGUAAAGCUCUAUCAGCAGGGAAGAAAAUGACGGUACCUGACUAAGAAGCCCCGGCUAACUACGUGCCAGCAGCCGCGGUAAUACGUAGGGGGCAAGCGUUAUCCGGAUUUACUGGGGGUAAAGGGAGCGUAGACGGCAGCGCAAGUCUGGAGUGAAAUCCCAUGGCUUAACCAUGGAACUGCUUUGGAAACUGUGCAGCUAGAGUGCAGGAGAGGUAAGCGGAAUGCCUAGUGUAGCGGUGAAAUGCGUAGAUAUUAGGAGGAACACCAGUGGCGAAGGCGGCUUACUGGACUGUAACUGACGUUGAGGCUCGAAAGCGUGGGGAGCAAACAGGAUUAGAUACCCCUGUAGUC